GUGGGCGGGAUCUUCUGGCGGGUUGGAGCAAACGGCCCCAGGGCGCUGCGGGAGCUCCUGCGUUCGACUUGUUCCAAGUAGAGUAGAGAGGUACUACCUGUACCGAAGGAGGCGUAGCUCUGCUUUGCUUGCACAGACGCUUCCAGAGUGGAGGAAAGAAUGGCUGUUGAAAAUCCACAAGGCUCCUGCAAGACUGUGAAUCAAGGUUGAGACCAAGAAAUUAUUUCUGAAAAAGGAUAUUUAUGGAGUAG
rnacentral:lncRNA from 1 species